CAAUGUUAGCUGUUCGUCGCCGUGUGUACUACGUAAAAGGGCCUUUAUCCAUGAUGCUCAUUGACGAACACCACAGCCUCACAAUAUGGCGAUUUGUAAUUCAUGGUGGAAUAGACAGAUAUUCAAGAGCCAUAUCUUUUUAAAAAUUGUCCAACAACAAUCGUGCAUUCACCGUG